AUUGAACGCUGGCGGCAUGCUUUACACAUGCAAGUCGAACGGUAACAGGCCUUCGGGUGCUGACGAGUGGCGAACGGGUGAGUAAUGCAUCGGAACGUGCCCAGAGGUGGGGGAUAACGCAGCGAAAGCUGUGCUAAUACCGCAUGUGAUCUGAGGAUGAAAGCGGGGGACCAGGCAGCAAUGUUUGGCCUCGCGCCUUUGGAGCGGCCGAUGUCAGAUUAGGUAGUUGGUGGGGUAAAGGCCUACCAAGCCGACGAUCUGUAGCUGGUCUGAGAGGACGACCGGCCACACUGGGACUGAGACACGGCCCAGACUCCUACGGGAGGCAGCAGUGGGGAAUUUUGGACAAUGGGCGCAAGCCUGAUCCAGCAAUGCCGCGUGCGGGAAGAAGGCCUUCGGGUUGUAAACCGCUUUUGUACGGAGCGAAAAGGCUCUGGCUAAUACCUGGGGCUGAUGACGGUACCGUAAGAAUAAGCACCGGCUAACUACGUG
rnacentral:rRNA from 1 species